GACUGUGAGACAGUGCAGAAGGUUGCUUUUAAAGAGUGGCUCCUUUCUGAGUUUUGUGUAGAGGAGUAUUGUGUAUCUGAGGAGUGCUAUCACUUAAGAGAGGAGUUACCGCAGAGUGAACUACAUAGAGAAGUUUUUGGCUUCUUUUAAGACGAAGUCAAAGCCACAGAAGUCUUUUACUCUGUUUGAAUAUCCGUAUUCUGGUUGGGAUAAGGAAGUCGUUGACUGGUACAACAAUGCGAUACAAUCCAAGAAGAAAUAAAUGACUGCAAGAGAUUUCUUUGAGUCUAAUUGGGGAAGAAUUGUUGAUUUUUCGCCUGUUGUACGUGACGCCCUCCUUAAUCCCAACGCACCAAACGUCGGAGAAGAUUAUAUAUUUGAGACAGCAUUAUUGUUUUAUGGAAAUAGAACAAGUGAAGGUGCUGCUUUACUGGUCUUGGAUAGCUUGUGGCAAUUUCAAUUUAAUCGAGGAGAGUUGUUGGAUUUGUUUUCAGAGGUAUAUAGAUUUCUAGUUCAGCUACGUAAUAACGAACGUUGUCAGUAUAGAUAUUGGCAUUUAAGAAAGGCUAAGUGGUUGCCGUUGUGGUACGUUUACGAAUGAGGCAUUUUGAAGUGAAAGUGGAUUUGAAGACAUUAGUAAAGCAAGACAGUUUUAUGACAUUUUGUGAUGGUUAUAUUGUGAGUGCUCGUUGGUUGUAUGGUAGACAUAAGUUAAGAAGACCUGUUAAGAGAAUAUAUAAAGCACCAAUAUAUGUUGAGUUCAAAAUAUUUUUUGACUAAGAAGAUGAGUAAUUUAAAUGAUUUAAUUGAAAGUGUAGAAAUUCGUAAUAUGGUUAGGGAUAAUUUACCUGUUGAAAAUGCAGUACCUAGUCCUUAUAUGGCUGAUGUCUUAUCAGGAAGAUUUAAUGAUAAUUUUGAACCUCAUGAUGUUUGUCGUUGUGGUAAUAUUUGUUGUUGUUUGGGUAUUCCGUGUGGUCAGCAAAAUCAGCCAAUUAGCGAUAGUGAGGCAGAAUUAAGUCAAUAUGCUCAGAGGUUAAGUGAUGUUGGUAGCCCUUGGCGUGUUUAUGGACGUGAGUCGCGUCUUGGUCAGCCUAUAGGUGGCAUUGAUGAAUGCGGCUGGCUUAAAGAUGGCAUCACCAUGCCUAAUAAAGAAAACCAUUCUUAUCUAUCCCACCCCCCUUUUUUUUAAAUACUAAUUCAGCUACUGAAGCAUCUUUCUCUUCUUUGGGUUGCAGGGGUUAUGACCCCUGGGGAGGUGGGUGGGUGUUAUACUGUAAGUCCUUGCACUGGUCUUAUGCCGCCGUGUAAGGCGGGUGACCUUGAGUGGGACUUGGCCGCUGGACGAGGCAGCCGGGCAACACGGGCACUAGUAUUACUAGGCCCGUGUUGCUGGAAAAUCAAGAUUGCGCAACACUGAUAAGGCGCGCUGGCGCUGUGCGCGCAUGUGGGGGCGGGAAGUUCUGACGUCAUGUCUUUGAUAACUGUGUCCUGAGGCAGCUGCAGGCUCAUUCGACUCGAGGCAGCCGCACGCUACGCAUCACCAUGCCGUACCGCCGUAGAAGAUACAUGAGGAGGAGCAGACUUCCAGUGUACAAGACAGUGGAUACAUUUUCAAUUACACACACACACACACACCUGACAAGUCAGAGGUGACUUAACAUGAAAUUAAUAAGAAAUUUUCUUUCAGGGCGUCUAAAAAUUUUUGUGAGAGAACUACAAUACUGUGUGGUAGAAGUCAUAAAAUUCUGGAUUUUUACAAGAAAUAGAAAUAUUAUUUUAUCCAUAGUAAAGAUGAUUGGGGUCACCUAUGACCCCAGAGUGAGUCCUAGGGUUAACCGAUUCAGCCGGUGCUGAAAAAGGACAGAUCAAUGAUCAAGCGCCCUCUGUUGGGCCGGUCGCCAGGAUGUUAUUUAGGCGCGCACCGAUCUUAAGAACUUUACUAGAGGGCUUUACAUACAACGUGAUACAACUUUUAAACAACAUAUUACCAGUCAAAAUAAAAUUAUAUAGUCUGGUUAUACAUUCAAUGAAUAGGUAGGGCAUAAUCAGUUACAGGAUUAGUGCGAUUAAUGUAUGGAAGUAAGGCAAAUGCCUACUGUUCACGACAUAAAUCAUCAAGUAAGGCUAGGUAUAAAUACGCAGGGCAUUAUCUGGUUAUCGUAGUACAUUAUCAAACAAAGCAAAGUAGGCGUUGGGCACAAAAUCGCUUUGGCCAUUGAGCACCCGAGUGGGCUCAUGCUUUUUCGCUUUGUAAAUCUCCAACAAGUGAAGAGCGCGAUCCUUUUAAGGAAUGACAUGAUGUUGUAAGCCUUUAUUCAGUAGAUUAUUUUCGUGUGUGUUUCUGCCUGGGAGAAGAAAACAAUUAUUUAAAUGGCCAUUACAAUAUUGUAUGAAGUAAAUGUCAAUGUGUUAGCUGUUACUUUUGAUGCACUUUCCACCAAUAUUACAAUGGCAAAGGAGUUAGUGGCAAAUAUUGCUGUUGAAGAUAUGAAACCCUAUUUUUCUCAUCCUGUUACAGGUAACAUUGUAUAUAUAAUUUUGUCCCUGCCAUAUGAUCAAGUUAGUUAGAAAUAUGGAUUUAGUUGAUGGGAGCAGAAGUAGUCUCCUGGCAGUAUAUCGAAAAGCUGCAUUAUACACAAGAAAGGGAGAGGCUUACUCUGGCUAACAAACUGAAAUUAUUGCACCUGAACUUUGGAGUUAGCUGUCCAGGUAUUAAGUGCUUCAGUUAGUUCUGCACUGCAAUAUUUAUGCUGCAAUUUAAAAUCAGAGUAAUUUCAGGGAUCUGAAGGAACAGCAGACUUCUGUCUUAUUUUUGAUCAAAUAUUUGGUAUGUUCAAUUCAAAAAAUCCUUUGGGUAAGGGAUACAAAGCACCAAUACGGGAGAGUAGUAAGUGUGUUUGGGAGCCUUUCCUUCAGACAGUAGCUGGUUAUUUGACAUCCCUUAAAGAUACAAAUGGGAAGCUAUUAUGUAAAGGUAAUAGGAAGACAGCUAUACUUGGGAUAUUAGCACUGUGUGAAACUAUUAAAGGCUUGCAUAGUGAUGUAAUCAUGACAAAGAAGAUGAACUACUUGCUGAUGUACAAGUUUAGCCAGGAUCAUCUGGAAAUGUAUUUUUCUUUAGUUAGAUCUAAGUUAGGAUGGAAUAACAAUCCAUCCUACCUACAGUUGAGAGCAGCAUAUAGGAACCUCCUAAUUUCAAAUGAGGUCAGACAUAAGGCAACUGCUUACUGUCAGUUUCAAGAUGAUACAUGUCUUUUACCUUGGACUGGGAAAAGAAACGUGUUUUGUAUGAACCAGUUGAGUUUUGCAACAGCAGGCGAUAUGACUGUACUGAUGAAACAAAUGUGGAGUGUGUCUGCCCAUGAUUAUGUGAUAUUGCAAAAUAACUUAACAGAGUACGCUAGUAAUCUUGUUGUAUAUUUUACAUGAUUUGUUGUGAAACACAUGGUAAAGAAAUUGAAUUGCAGUUCUUGCGUAUGUAGUUUAUUUAGUGUAGAAGCAGUUCAGUUGUCUGAUUUGUUAAGGAGGAAAAACAAUGGUGGCUUGAUUAUGCCAUCAGCAGGAGUAAUUGUGGUUUGCAGAGAAGCUGAGGAAAAUAAUAUGGCUACGGGUUGUGAAAUCAACUAAUGUAAUUCAGAAAAGCAAUACACUCACUGAAAUAAUGUCAAAUGUUGUGCCAAUAGUAAUGCAGCAGGACUUAUUUCCUGAACUGAAGGACCAUCUGAUGGAAAAUGUUUUCCCGGAGAAUCAUUGGUACAUUAUUGUAGAAUCAAUUGUAAGGCAGUAUGUUUGUUGUCACCAUAUUACAAACAUAUGCAAUACAAAAUUGCCCAAAAAAGUUAUUAGACAGACACUGACAAAAUCAGUUUUAUUUCAAAAUCAGUGA